rnacentral:lncRNA from 1 species
AGCUCAAGUCGUUGGAGGAUGGGGAGGUUAAACCUGUUGAGGGUGGAAAUACGACCGGCUUGUGGGUUGAAAAUGUCGGCACGUUCAGGGUCAGCAAGGUUCUCCUUGAUCCUCAUGGAGCAGAAAGUUUCCUCGAGGCCAUUAUCUUGAGACCCUCCUCUCGUAUGGCGGUAUCGCUGCUCCUGCUGGCGCUCCUCACGUUCUUCUUCCUCCAUUCUGGGUGGUGUUACGACUUGGAGUCUGUCCCUGACUCUGAUGAUGGUGCCUCUAUUUCCUCGUACACGUUGGAUUUUCCUAAUGAUGUCGUGGUCAACGUUGAAAGCUUGAGCGAGGAAGUUUCUGUCGAAGGCACAGAGAAGGUUGUUGCAUGAUGAGCUUUCCCGCCCCUGCUCCUCCUCCUCCUGGUGGCGGCUGCGGCGGCUGGGGUUGUCUUCUUCUUCUUCUUCUCCUUCUCCUUCUUCUUCCUCAGACUCCUCCCCCCUCUCACUUCUUCCCUGCAUCUGCUGUGCUAGCCUCCUCAGUUGCCUCUGUUCCUCUUCUGGGUUACCAGCAAGAUGGAAUCUCUAUAACAUUACAAGAGAGAGAUCAUCAAAAACAAAAACAAAAAGUUAUGUAUAGAAAGGGAUUGUCAAAAUUAUAAAAAAUUAUAUACUCUAGGGAUGUUGUCGAGCUGAUUAGCACUGUUGCCAGUGUCAAGUAGAUUGAUAGUAACAACACGCUCAUUGCCAUCAUUGUAGCUCCAGUGAACCACACCCUGCGGCAAAGCAAUGAUGUCACCCUGGCGGAACCGUCGGACUUUCUGGUGCUGGUCCUGGAACCUGCCACGGCUUUGAUGCUGCCAUUGCUGUGAAUCCUGGAAUGUUUCGGCACAUCCAGGCAUCACAAUACCUUGAAUACCUCUUCCUGAAAAAACAAAUUUAAACAUCAUUUUGUAUUUUAUACCAACGAUAAUAACACCAUUAGUGACGCACUAUUAUACCUUGGACAAUGUAGAGAAGCUGAGGAGCAUUGGUGAAGGAAGGCAAAACAAGGCCAUUAGGUUCAAUAGUCUGCCUCAUUACAGAUACACCAGCACACCUGAGCUGUUGACAGUUGGGGUUCCACCACUCGGUGGUGCCGGCUUCGGAGCGAAUUCGGGUCUGGGGUGCAGAGGCGCGGAGCCUAUUGAUUUGACACUCAUUUUGGGACUGCUGUGACGAAAAGGUCUGGCGAGCUAGGCAGCCAUUGAAGAGAAAAAGAAGGGAAAGAAAGAGCAAAGAAGGGUUAAUCGCCAUAUCUACGUGUUGAAAUGGUUAUUUGGUGAAGAAGGGAGUGGAGGGAUAGUGGUAUUUAUAGGGGAGAAAGAGUGGAAAAGGAGGUCAGGGUUGUGUCGACACACAGCAGUUUGCAUGGGGGAGUUGAGGUUAAUGGCUUACACAUCAUAGACUGGGGGAGGGCAGGUGGCUCAAAGCUUCGAUGAAUACUUACAAAUAACAAUACCAGGAAAUGAAGAAGAAUCCGAAACCACGAUAUGUCGCCAGAUGAGAUUGGUUAAGGAGAGAGUCUUGAAUUUUGGUUACACUAAUCAAACCAAAAUGAUUCAUCAAUUUAUUAAUUAAGCGUUCAAGAGUUCUUUAAAACAUGAUUCAUUAUAUUAUGAUUUUAUUUAAAUUUCCAUUUUCGUUUAAAAAACAUUAAUUGAUUUUAUUGUUAAAAAUAUAUAUUUCUCCUCGUUAACUUGUACUUACUACAUAUAUUAAGAGUUUAAAUGAGAUCAUUUUAGUCUCACCAAAAAUCCAUUCAUUUCACAAAACAAUAAAUUUUAUUUUUACAGUAUUUAUAUAUUUUUAUAUUUUAAUUUGACCCUAAAUAUCAUUAAAUUAUAUUUAAUUUUUAACUUUUUACUAAUCUACAAUAAUAUAAAAAAGUGUCAAAAUUAUUUUAAUAACAACUAAAAAGGGUAAGGAGAGUGAAAAUGUGGUGUGGAGGCAGGACGUGAAGAACCUACGCAGGGAAUUACUUGUUUGUUUGUGAACUGUGAUGGUGUUGCGACAACUGGGCCGUAGCAUGUUAUACCUCUUGCCAUCUGUUUAAGCCAAGUUGUACUACAUUCUAUACGGUCGUACAUUAUUCCGAUAAUUGCAAUUUUUACGAUAUAAAAUAUAACUGAUGAGAACAAAAAUAAGUCAAACAACUAUAGUAGUGGUGGAAAGGGUAAUUUUAGAAUUCUAUUUUUUUGAUAUUCAAGUCCGUAAAUAUUAUUGUUUAAUAUAUAUGAGGUUAAUAUAAAAGUUAAUUAAAUUUUGGUAUCUUAAUUUUAUCAAAUUAAUAGUUAAUUAGGAUACAAAAAUUAAAUUGUAAAAAUUCAUUGUUAUAAAUUUUUAAUUAAUCAAAACACCAAUUGAGCAAUUGAACUACUAUUAUAUGACCAAACGGUGGUAGAUUCUAAGUGUUAUCCACUAAGAAAUGUUAAUUAUGCUUAAGGUUCAUUAAUUUAAAGUUAAUUUUAAUUAAUUAAUUAAUUAAGUGCACAAAAUGAAUGCAUUGAAGUGUAAGCUUAAAAUAGGUAUCAAAUGGCCUAAAAUGUACCAAAAAUAGAGUCCACAUUGCGACUUCAGCAAUGGAGCUCUGGAUUUCAGACCACGACGUGAUGAGGAACAUCGUCGUCACAACGAUGCCAAGUUAGUAUGUAACGUCGCGACGAGGAACCCCCUCAUGUCGCGACGUCAAUCCAAAAUUUUUAAAACUUUUACAAAUCGUUUCUUGUUUGAUUCCAGGCUAAUUUUAGAGCAUACGUAAGCUUGUACAAGACCCGAGAAAAGUUGUAUAUCAUGUUUAUGGCUUGAAAAUGUUAUGUUUGUAUGCAUUAAGCUGUGAAUUGAAAGUUAAAUGUUUGUAGUUGCUUCGACAAUGAAUGUGACAUCCUAUAGCUCGGAUCCAGUGAUCAGGUCGGAUGAGGUGUGUUACAAUUUGUUACUAUUUUUUAACUCUAUCAUUGUUCAUAUUCUUCUUCCUUAACCCAUUUUUUUCUCCACAUCACCCUGCUUCCCAAAUUGAGUAACUCUACUUAAAUGAAUUGAGGAAUAGAUUUAGCGAAUAUUUUGUGAAGCAGGAGUGUGGGAGGGUGGCGUGGAGAAGAAAAAAGAUUAAAUGCUAAAUUGGGAUCUAACUUUUUAAGGGUUGCUUAAAUAAAUGCCAAACCUUUUAACUAUUCAUAUAAGGCAUAAUCAUUAAAAAGUGCUCAAAUAAAGGUUUUCCAUGCACUUCAGUCUUGUUUGUAGUAAAAAUUAGGUGAAUGCUGACAUGUUUAAAAUAAAACACAUUACAACUGAAUUUGAUAUUGCUUGAAAAGAAAAUAAAAUAAUAAAAACAUCAACUGAAACCUAAUAUACGACAUUUGAGAAGUCCUUAUUUAAGCACUUUCGAAAAAAUUUGGCCUUUAUUUGAUUGUUUUGAAAGGUUUAACCUUCAUUUGGACGCUUUUUGUAAAUGUUAGGUCCUUAUAUAAGCAAUGUCUAAAAGGUUGGGCCCCAAUUUUAGCAAAAAAAAAAGGGUUAAGGAAGAGCAGGAUGAACAGUGGCAGGGUUAGAAUAGUAAAAAAUGAUGGCAUGGGCACAAUCAAUCGUUUUUAGAGGUUUCUUGGGUGAUUAAAAUGAAAGUACUCUCUAAUGGUGGUGAUUAAAUUGCAAGAAUUUUUAUUUAGGUGACAAAAAUAAAAGUGGCCUAAAAGUUGAGUUAUCAGCUAAGUAGUUUACCCUAAAUUUUAAAAAAAAAUUAACUUUUUGAAUAAUUUAUGUAUUAUAUAUGUUUUCUUUAUUUUCCAAUCAAUAUAAUAUACAUAAUAUUAAAAUUAAAAAAAAAACUGAUGCGGGGCAUUUUGAUAGUGUCACAUGUCAUCUUCUUUUUUCUUUCUAAUGUUGUAGGCCAAUUUAAGUAAUAGAUGAUGGUUUGAGUAUUAAAGAAAGCCCAAAAAAAAUUUAAAUAUUAAAAUGAGAAAAUAAAUAUAAUAGACGAAAGGAUGCAUUAAACAUUUUAAUAUAUUUUAUUAUGUUAUUUCCUCACGUUUUAAAUUAUUUUUAUUAUCCCCGUGAAUAGUUAGUUUUACCUAUCUAACCUUUUUUUUAGAUUUAAAAAUAAUAAUAAUUUAUUUAUUUUAAAUAUUAUUAUUUUUUAAAAAGUUUACAACUAAAAAUAAAAUUAAUCAUAAUUCAAUCACAAAUAUAUGCAAAAUCAAACAAUAAAAAACAUAAAAAGACUAGGAAUCAAAAUAAUUCGAACUAAAAUUAACCCUCUAAAUUAAAACUUACACAUAUUAAAAUUAAAGACCUACAAAUAAUAUUACUUGAAUUUAGAUACUCAAAUAUCUAAAACCUAGUCUUUGCGAAUGGUACUAAAGCUUCACAAUUAUUAUUAUUUAAAAUAAAAAUUGUAAAUAUGUUUUAAUAUAUAUAUAUAUAAUUAAUUAAUUAAUGUUUGAUGUAAAGUACAGAAAUCUAAGUUAUUUAUUAUUAUUGAAAGUGAAAAGGUCAAAUUACACUGGAAUCAAAAUUUAACUUUUGGAAUUUAAAUUAAAAUAGAUACCGUCCACGGUGGGACUCGAACCCACAAUCUCCCGCUCCGGAGGCGAGCGCCUUAUCCAUUAGGCCACGCGAAACCUUGUUCUAUGAGGGUUGAAUUUAUUAUUUAAAAUAAUAAACAUUGCGUAUACGUAUAUUUGUCAAGGUAAUCAGGUUUAGAUUCCAUAUUAGCCCUAUUAAGAUACGAGGUUGAAAUAUAACUAAAAAAUAUAUUUUUAUUAAAGAGUCACUUUCGAACAAUGUGCAUGUAUCUCAAUAACUACUAUUUAUGAAAUUUAAAAACUCAUUAUCAAUACUUUAUGAUUUUAAAGGGAUAGAAUUAUAAUGUAAAAGGGGAGAAUCUCAAUUAUUAAUGCACUUCCAAGAGGAAAAUCAUUGAAUUAUAAUGUACUUGGGACUUUUAUUUUUUGUUUGGUUGUCAUCAUUGCAGUGUUAGUUGAUUUCUAGUUAAAUAUCCAAUUAAACUAUACAACUUGACAGUACAAAGCAAUGAGGACUGCAAACAAAUACAUGUAAUUAUGUUAUCCAGAUUUACCAUCUUCUUUAAAAUAUAUAUAUAUAUAUAUAUAAACCCUCUAAAAAGGAAUUUUAAGGACUUGAUUGUUAAAAUAUUCAAUAACUUUUCAUGUAUAAUCCCAAAAUUGUUUAAAUCUCUAAGACAAAAGGGUUUACACCAUUUCUUUCCCAUAGAAGAGAGGUUGAUGCUAAUGUAUAAAGAUCAAUGUAGCAUCUUUUACAAGAUAUAUUUCAAAUUCUGAAUACAUGUCUACCCAUGUUUGAUUUAAUACUCCAUGAACAAAUCUGAAGCUGAACUGGUGGAUGAAUACCAUCUGUAAGUUCUAUAGGAAUUCAUAGUCUUCUGUUGUCUACACCGAUAUAAUGGUUUGUUUAUUGUUCUCCAGCCUCUGGGAUUAAAAAGUUUAACAGAAAAGAAUUGGCUAAAAAUGUGUUGUAUGAAUUGCAAAGGUGAGACUAUUUGGUAUUGAUGUUACCCUGUAAAGCUAAGAAGGACCCAAGGAAGAACUCUGCAUGAUAUAUGAAAGAAUGUCAGGACACCAACCGAAAAAAUAAAUUUGUUGGAGAUGCAGCUCCUUGAUUUGUUUGUAAUGCCCGCUAAUGUCAGAACAAGCUUAUGGGGUUACAGAUGAACACCUGGGGCAACAAAAAUUAAAAGAUAAGAUUCAACAGCAGAAUCGAUAACUAAUAAAGAUCACCACCCAUUUCCCAAAUUGCUAUGUAAUUUAAUACUCGAGUUUUCAAUGAGCGUAACAGAAGAACUGAAGAUAUUUAGAUACAGAAUUUUCACAAAAAAUGAGGCAGAAUGAUGUCAUGUGAUAACACAAGGGAAUAUGCAAAUUUAUGUUACGUUGAUUCGGGUGUUUGUGUCAAAUACAAGCAUGUGCUUGGUAUGUGUAUGUUUUAAUUCUUUCAUUUAUUUGGAAGGUCCUAAGAUCAUAUUCCUAUAUUUAUGUUUGAAUAUGUGUUAGGCACAAAUACUUUAAAAGAAUGAAGAACCAGAGUAUGAUAUACAGUGCAAAAAGACAGAUACGAUAGUCACUGCAUCUGGGGAUUCCAUGACUCUGUAUGUUUACUUCUUUAUGUGGCUUUUGGAAUAAGAAACUACACUAAUAAAGUUAUCAACAAUUUGAAACAAAAAAUGUAUAUAUGAGAACAUUGAAUAACCAGCAUGUUUCAACCUUUCAUUUGAACUUAUAUGAUAAUGAUAAAGCAAAUCACUUUUGUAUGCCAACUCUAAAUCAAGUGCACAGUAGAGUAAUAUUAACAAAGUUAUCAAACUGUGGAUCCAAAUUUUCCUCAACAGGAAGCAUGUGAACUUGAGCUGAAGGCAAAAAUAUAGCAAUAAAGGUGACCGAGUCAAAGCACAUCAUAAAGAAUUAGUACUGUCAAAGAGGGAACUAUAGCAAUAUAGGAGAGCAUCAGUUAGUAGUAAAAAUAGUAGAACUGAAGCGGUGAAUCUGUUUGUAUUUCCUGAUUCUGCCAUUUGCAAUUUAUUAUCAAGCCUAGAGACCAAUUUACGUUUUAGUUAGAUGGAGAAGAAACAAGAGAUUAGCCUACCUUUAUUCUAUACAUAAUGCAGGAGUGCAUCGGCUGAAGAAUUCCUUAACCUACAGCUCUGUCCCAAAUGAACAUCACCAAAGACAUACCUACAUCACCAUAUAUCAGUGGAAAUCGUAAUAUAACUUGGGAACAGGAGGAAGAGCCAAAAAUAAAAUAAAAAACGGAACCUGUAUUCACAGUAUUCAGGCCAUGCACAUCGAGCUUUUCCGUAGUCCCAGUAACAGUCAUCAUCCCUCAAGGGCCCUCGCUUUGCUAUCAGCAUUGUUAUAAUGAGUAAAACUCAAAUUAAUCUUUGAGAAAAGUAAAACAGUAAACCAUGUUUUACCUUUUGUAACAAAUUUGGAUGGUGAAUCAGCAUGAAUAUCAUGCCAAAUCUGGAGCCAUAACUCUCGCAUUAGAGCUGGUGAUCUAACGAUGUUCCUGUGAUUUGCUACAUGAAGAUGAUAUCAGUUUUACCCACUUGUAAUGAUAAGAAGGCUGAUGUCAAAGAACAUUAGUUAGCAUUGUUAACUCAAUUUUCUUGUAAAAGAAAAUAAGGAAAAAUUGAAAGAGUGCAACUUAAUAUGGAGAACACAUUAGUUAGAAAUGGUUUAAAUAACGCUCCUCAACAUAGAGAUACGGAGAAUGCAAAGUAAACAAGCUAAGCAGCUAAACCAUGAAUGAUAGACAAGCUUUUGAAUUAUUUGAUUGUCCUUUAGCAAGAAUCUGAAAGAGGAGCUCCCCAAUUAACAUCACUCUGAUUUUUAUAGAUUAUGCUGGAAGUAAAUCAGCUGAAAGAAAUUUAUCCAAAACCAUAGAGAACCACUUUCAUUAAAAUCCCUAACUGGAUAACAGCACAUAAUCACAACAACCAUAAUGCCGGGCUAUUUAAGAUUCUUAAAAAGCAUAGUAGCAAUGCAAUUAAGUUCAACAUGAUUUGAAAUCGUACUACUAUAUAAGCCAUUUACUGAGAAAAGAAUUAAAAGGUAUUGUCACCCACCUUUAUCAAGCUCCCAAACUGCUGUCCUCUUUCCUGGAAUGCUUUCCGAGUCUUCAUAGUAAGUUAUGUAUUUGACUCUAGGUGACCUUGUCAUGUUGGGGACUACAUCUUCAUUAUGAUGCUCAACAUUCAACUCCACUUGUACAUCUGACCCAUCAUGCUCCGACUACAAUAUACAUGAGAAAGUUUUACUAUUUCAAACUCCCAAUAGUUAUGUCAUAUUUCAGAUAUGGAUUACAAAACCAUAGCAGACAUACUCCUUUUUAUUAUAUCAGAUGGAUAGUGUUCAUAUGUUUUACCUAUUUGCUGCACGAAUGAAAUACUCUAUUUUAUUAUAUAAAGGGAUUGAGAGAAACAUGCAACAAACUAUGUUAUACAGCUCAUAAAUCAAAUAGCUCAUCAAACUAACCACAAAAAAGAAAAAAAAGCAAUCUGAUAUAUGUGAUGUGUUAAAUAUCCAGAAGAUUGAAAGCUU